rnacentral:rRNA from 1 species
UCAUGAGAGUGGCGCACGGGUGCGUAACGCGUGAGCAACCUACCCAUAUCAGGGGGAUAACUCUCACAAAGAGAGAUUAACACCGCAUAACAUCAUUAACCGGCAUCGGAUUAUGAUCAAAUAUUUAUAGGAUAUGGAUGGGCUCGCGUGACAUUAGCUAGUUGGAGGGGUAACGGCCCACCAAGGCUACGAUGUCUAGGGGCUCUGAGAGGAGAAUCCCCCACACUGGUACUGAGACACGGGACCAGACUCCUACGGGAGGCAGCAGUAAGGAAUAUUGGUCAAUGGAGGGAACUCUGAACCAGCCAUGCCGCGUGCAGGAUGACUGGCCUAAUGGGUUGUAAACUGCUUUUUGUCAGGGNAAUAAACCUUUCCACGUGUGGGGAAGCUGAAUGUACCUGAAAAAUAAGGGAUCGGCUAACUCCGUGCCAGCAGCCGCGGUAAUACGGAGGAUCCAACGUUAUCGGAUUUAUGGGKUUUAACGGUGCUUAGGCGUCUUUAA